rnacentral:rRNA from 1 species
CCUACGGGUGGCUGCAGUGGGGAAUAUUGGACAAUGGGCGAAAGCCUGAUCCAGCCAUGCCGCGUGUGUGAAGAAGGCCUUCGGGUUGUAAAGCACUUUCAGUGGGGAAGAAAGCCUUGGGGCUAAUACCCUCGAGGAAGGACAUCACCCACAGAAGAAGCACCGGCUAACUCCGUGCCAGCAGCCGCUGUAAUACGGAGGGUGCGAGCGUUAAUCGGAAUUACUGGGCGUAAAGCGCGCGUAGGCGGUCUGAUAAGCCGGUUGUGAAAGCCCCGGGCUCAACCUGGGAACGGCAUCCGGAACUGUCAGGCUAGAGUGCAGGAGAGGAAGGUAGAAUUCCCGGUGUAGCGGUGAAAUGCGUAGAGAUCGGGAGGAAUACCAGUGGCGAAGGCGGCCUUCUGGACUGACACUGACGCUGAGGUGCGAAAGCGUGGGUAGCAAACAGGAUUAGAUACCCCGGUAGUC